GGGUAGGUGGCCGAGUGGCUAAAGGCGGCAGACUGUAAAUCUGUUCUCGUAUGAGUACGAUGGUUCGAAUCCAUCCCUGCCCA
rnacentral:tRNA from 1 species